AUUGAAUCACUCAUGGAUUUUCUUAAAAUGCAAAUUCUGAUUCAGGACCCUGAGAUUCUGUGCUUGUAACAAGCUCCAGGUGAUACUGAU
rnacentral:miRNA from 1 species